rnacentral:rRNA from 1 species
UCUCCGGAUCAAAGGUGUGAUUCCGCCUGGGGAUGGGUCCGCGUCCUAUUAGCUUGUUGGUGGGGUAAUGGCCUACCAAGGCGACGAUGGGUAGCGGGUGUGAGAGCAUGGCCCGUCUCACUGGGACUGAGACACUGCCCAGACACCUACGGGUGGCUGCAGUCGAGAAUCUUCCGCAAUGGGCGCAAGCCUGACGGAGCGACGCCGCGUGCGGGAUGAAGGCUUUCGGGUUGUAAACCGCUGUCAGAGGGGAACAAAUCCAUAAGGGCUAUCCCUUAUGGUUGAGUGAUCCUCAGAGGAAGCGCAGGCUAAGUUCGUGCCAGCAGCCGCGGUAACACGAACUGCGCGAACGUUAUUCGGAAUCACUGGGCUUAAAGAGUUCGUAGGCGGCUUUGCAGGUGGGGUGUGAAAUCCCUCGGCUCAACCGAGGAACUGCGCUCCAAACCGUGAAGCUUGAGGGAGAUAGAGGUGAGCGGAACUGAUGGUUGGAGCGGUGAAAUGCGUUGAUAUCAUCAGGAACACCGGUGGCGAAAGCGGCUCACUGGGUCUCUUCUGAC